AAAGUCGUAACAAGGUUUCCGUAGGUGAACCUGCGGAAGGAUCAUUACCGAGUGCGGGCCCUCUGGGUCCAACCUCCCACCCGUGUUUAUCGUACCUUGUUGCUUCGGCGGGCCCGCCGUCAGGCCGCCGGGGGCAUCCGCCCCGGGCCCGCGCCCGCCGAAGACACCCCUGAACGCUGUCUGAAGAUUGCAGUCUGAGCGAUUAUUUAAAUUAUUUAAAACUUUCAACAACGGAUCUCUUGGUUCCGGCAUCGAUGAAGAACGCAGCGAAAUGCGAUACGUAAUGUGAAUUGCAGAAUUCAGUGAAUCAUCGAGUCUUUGAACGCACAUUGCGCCCCUGGUAUUCCGGGGGGCAUGCCUGUCCGAGCGUCAUUUCUGCCCUCAAGCCCGGCUUGUGUGUUGGGCCGCGUCCCCCCGGGGACGGCCCGAAAGGCAGCGGCGGCACCGCGUCCGGUCCUCGAGCGUAUGGGGCUUUGUCACCCGCUCUUGCAGGCCCGGCCGGCGCCAGCCGACCCCCAACCAAAUUUUCUCAGGUUGACCUCGGAUCAGGUAGGGAUACCCGCUGAACUUAA
rnacentral:rRNA from 1 species